rnacentral:piRNA from 1 species
UGAUGACUCUUUCAUGCCUUCAAAGCCA